GAUGAACGCUGGCGGCGUGCCUAAUACAUGCAAGUCGAGCGAACAGACGAGGGGCUUGCUCCUCUGACGUUAGCGGCGGACGGGUGAGUAACACGUGGAUAACCUACCUAUAAGACUGGGAUAACUUCGGGAAACCGGAGCUAAUACCGGAUAAUAUAUUGAACCGCAUGGUUCAAUAGUGAAAGACGGUUUUGCUGUCACUUAUAGAUGGAUCCGCGCCGCAUUAGCUAGUUGGUAAGGUAACGGCUUACCAAGGCAACGAUGCGUAGCCGACCUGAGAGGGUGGUCGGCCACACUGGAACUGAGACACGGUCCAGACUCCUACGGGAGGCAGCAGUAGGGAAUCUGCCGCAAUGGGCGAAAGCCUGACGGAGCAACGCCGCGUGAGUGAUGAAGGUCUUCGGAUCGUAAAACUCUGUUAUUAGGGAAGAACAAAUGUGUAAGUAACUAUGCACGUCUUGACGGUACCUAAUCAGAAAGCCACGGCUAACUACGUG
rnacentral:rRNA from 1 species